rnacentral:rRNA from 1 species
CAAUAGCGUAUAUUAAAGUUGUUGCAGUUAAAAAGCUCGUAGUUGGAUUUCUGGAUGGAGCGACCGGUCGGGCAUUAAUUUGUCUGCACUGGAGUCGGUUCCGUCCAUCCUCUUGGAAAGUGCGUCGGGCAUUAAGUUGUUUGGCGUAUGAUCCAAGUCGUUUACCGUGAAAAAAUUAGAGUGUUUAAAGCAGGCCUUCGCCUUGAAUACAUUAGCAUGGAAUAAUAAGAUAGGACUUUGGUCUAUUUUGUUGGUUUGCAGACCGAAGUAAUGAUUAAUAGGGAUAGUUGGGGGUAUUUAUAUUCCGAUGUCAGAGGUGAAAUUCUUAGAUUUUCGGAAGAUAAACUUAUGCGAAAGCAUUUACCAAGGAUGUUUUCAUUAA